rnacentral:rRNA from 1 species
UACGGAGGGUGCAAGCGUUAUCCGGAUUCACUGGGCUUAAAGGGUGCGUAGGCGGCUUUAUACGUCAGUGCUGAAAUAUCCCGGCUUAACCGGGAGGGUGGCAUUGAUACUGCAGAGCUUGAGUGAAGUCGAGGUAGGCGGAAUUGACGGUGUAGCGGUGAAAUGCUUAGAUAUCGUCAAGAACACCGAUAGUGAAGACAGCUUACUAGACUUCAACUGACGCUGAGGCACGAAAGUGUGGGGAUCAAACAGG